rnacentral:snoRNA from 13 species
UUUUAAUGAUGAAAUAUACAGACCUGACUUGAAAAUAAAAUUUGAGAAUGCAUAACGCUCCUGAACAAA